GAUGAACGCUGGCGGCGUGCCUAAUACAUGCAAGUCGAGCGAACAGACGAGGAGCUUGCGCCUCUGACGUUAGCGGCGGACGGGUGAGUAAAGGGGGAAAACCUACCUAUAAGAUGGGGGAAACUUAGGGAAACCGGGGUAAAAACCGGAAAAAAAAUUUAACCCAGUGGGUGCAUAGGAAAAUACGGGUUUGCGGGGAAGUAUAGACGGAUCCCCGCCGCAUUAGUUAGUUGGUAAGGUAACGGCUUACCAAGGCAACGAUGCGUAGACGACCUGAAAGGGUGAUCGCCCACACUGGAACUGAGACACGGUCCAGACUCCUACGGGAGGCAGCAGUCGGGAAUCUUCCGCAAUGGGCGAAAGCCUGACGGAGCGACGCCGCGUGAGUGAUGAAGGUCUUCGGAUCGUAAAACCCUGUUAUUGGGGAAGAACAACUGUGUAAGUAACUAUGCACGUCUUGACGGUACCUAAUCAGAAAGCAACGGCUAACUACGUG
rnacentral:rRNA from 1 species